rnacentral:rRNA from 1 species
GAUGAACGCUGGCGGCGUGCCUAAUACAUGCAAGUCGAGCGAACGGACGAGAAGCUUGCUUCUCUGAUGUUAGCGGCGGACGGGUGAGUAACACGUGGAUAACCUACCUAUAAGACUGGGAUAACUUCGGGAAACCGGAGCUAAUACCGGAUAAUAUUUUGAACCGCAUGGUUCAAAAGUGAAAGACGGUCUUGCUGUCACUUAUAGAUGGAUCCGCGCUGCAUUAGCUAGUUGGUAAGGUAACGGCUUACCAAGGCAACGAUGCAUAGCCGACCUGAGAGGGUGAUCGGCCACACUGGAACUGAGACACGGUCCAGACUCCUACGGGAGGCAGCAGUAGGGAAUCUUCCGCAAUGGGCGAAAGCCUGACGGAGCAACGCCGCGUGAGUGAUGAAGGUCUUCGGAUCGUAAAACUCUGUUAUUAGGGAAGAACAUAUGUGUAAGUAACUGUGCACAUCUUGACGGUACCUAAUCAGAAAGCCACGGCUAACUACGUGCCAGCAGCCGCGGUAAUACGUAAGUGGCAAGCGUUAUCCCGAAUUAUUGGGCGUAAAGCGCGCGUAGGCGGUUUUUUAGUCUGAUGUGAAAGCCCACGGCUCAUCCGUGGAGGGUCAUUGGAAACUGGAAAACUUGAGUGCAGAAGAGGAAAGUGGAAUUCCAUGUGUAGCGGUGAAAUGCGCAGAGAUAUGGAGGAACACCAGUGGCGAAGGCGACUUUCUGGUCUGUAACUGACGCUGAUGUGCGAAAGCGUGGGGAUCAAACAGGAUUAGAUACCCUGGUAGUCCACGCCGUAAACGAUGAGUGCUAAGUGUUAGGGGGUUUCCGCCCCUUAGUGCUGCAGCUAACGCAUUAAGCACUCCGCCUGGGGAGUACGACCGCAAGGUUGAAACUCAAAGGAAUUGACGGGGACCCGCACAAGCGGUGGAGCAUGUGGUUUAAUUCGAAGCAACGCGAAGAACCUUACCAAAUCUUGACAUCCUUUGACAACUCUAGAGAUAGAGCUUUCCCCUUCGGGGGACAAAGUGACAGGUGGUGCAUGGUUGUCGUCAGCUCGUGUCGUGAGAUGUUGGGUUAAGUCCCGCAACGAGCGCAACCCUUAAGCUUAGUUGCCAUCAUUAAGUUGGGCACUCUAAGUUGACUGCCGGUGACAAACCGGAGGAAGGUGGGGAUGACGUCAAAUCAUCAUGCCCCUUAUGAUUUGGGCUACACACGUGCUACAAUGGACAAUACAAAGGGCAGCGAAACCGUGAGGUCAAGCAAAUCCCAUAAAGUUGUUCUCAGUUCGGAUUGUAGUCUGCAACUCGACUACAUGAAGCUGGAAUCGCUAGUAAUCGUAGAUCAGCAUGCUACGGUGAAUACGUUCCCGGGUCU